rnacentral:rRNA from 1 species
UACAGAGGGUGCAAGCGUUAAUCGGAAUUACUGGGCGUAAAGCGUGCGUAGACGGUUACAUAAGUCGGAUGUGAAAGCCCCGGGCUCAACCUGGGAAUGGCAUUCGAGACUGCGUAGCUAGGAUGCGGAAGAGGGAAGCGGAAUUUCCGGUGUAGCGGUGAAAUGCGUAGAUAUCGGAAGGAACACCAGUGGCGAAAGCGGCUUCCUGGUCCAGCAUCGACGUUCAGGCACGAAAGCGUGGGGAGCAAACAGG